CGAACAUGCCGAGGCCACGGGAGGCCGCGCCAGACGCGGGCAUCAGGGGCCUGUGGGCCGAGUACAUGGUCCGGCGCGGGGGGUGCCCGGUAGAGGCUCGCACCUCCUCAGUGGGCACCUCCUUAGUGGCCGACGACGCUCCGCCCGCAGCGAGCUCCUCGGCCGUUGCUGCUUGGGCCCGGGGGGAGCCGAAGGCCGUCGCCGCAUGCCCCCCCCGCCCCCCCCUCAGGCUGGCCCACGCGGGGGGUCUCUGUCGGGGCGCGCCUGCGCACAGCGUUGCCCGCCUCCCACCGCCCAGGGGGCGGGGGAGGUCAGCGAUUGCCGGCCCCGCCCCUGGCCGAAGCUCAGCGCCGGGUCGACCUCCGGCCCCGGGCGAGCAGAUGGACCAGCGGAUCAAACUCGGGACCUUGUGCUUGUGAAGCAGGCGGCAGAACCACUGAACUAAAUCCUGGGCCCUCCACACUGAAAUAAAUUUUAAAAAACAUUUUUUAAAUAACCAUAUCAAACAG
rnacentral:lncRNA from 1 species